AGCGAUAGCUGGUUACUUACGAAAAGAAUAUUAGUUCCGCCUAAAGUUGCUUACACACUUCCCAAUGCUUAACUUUAGAGUAACUCAAAUAGGGUACAGCCUAUUUGAAACAGGACACAACCUAAACUGGAGGGUAAUUUAAUGCUUUUACUCCCAGGCAAGUAGGCCUAAAAGCAGCCAUCUUUUAAAAUGCGUCAAAGCUUAGCUAAGCCAGCAUCCAUCUCAUAAAUAAUACACAACCCCCUACCAAUAGUAAGUAGUUCUAUAAACUAUAGAAAAUAUUAUGCUAAAACUAGUAACAAGAAGGAACAACCCUUCUCUUUUAUACAAACAUAAACCAGCUUUGGAUAAACCACUGGUAAUUAACAGCCCUAAAUAAUAAUAGUAACAUCUCCAGAAACCCCUAUUAAUAUAUUCUGUUAACCUAACACAAGAGUAUAACAAGAAAGAUUAAAAGAGGAGGAAGGAACUCGGCAAACUAACAAUCCCGCCUGUUUACCAAAAACAUCGCCUCCUGGCCACAUAGGAGGUCCAGCCUGCCCAGUGAGUAAUUUAACGGCCGCGGUAUACUGACCGUGCAAAGGUAGCGCAAUCACUUGUUCCUUAAAUAGGGACCCGUAUGAAUGGCAUCACGAGGAUUUAACUGUCUCCCCCCUCUAAUCUGUGAAACUAAUCUCCCUGUGAAAAAGCAGGGAUAAUUACAUAAGACGAGAAGACCCUAUGGAACUUUAAACAAAUAAUACUUGUUUUUCCCCUCUCACUUUUCUGAAGACAAACACCUAUAAGCAUACUAAUUAGAAGUUUUCGGUUGGGGUGACCGCGGAGAAGAACGUAUCCUCCGCGAUGGAAAGGCUGAACCUAUUAAAUAUAAGCCACAGCUUUAAAAAUCAGAACACUGACAUUAUUGACCCAAACUUUUGAUCAACGAACCAAGCUACCCUAGGGAUAACAGCGCAAUCUAUUUCGAGAGCACAUAUCGACAAAUAGGCUUACGACCUCGAUGUUGGAUCAGGGUCCCCUGGUGGUGCAGCCGCUACAAAAGGUUCGUUUGUUCAACGAUUAAAACCCUACGUGAUCUGAGUUCAGACCGGAGUAAUCCAGGUCGGUUUCUAUCUAUGAGAAGCCUCCCCUAGUACGAAAGGACCGAGAAGGCAGGGCCAAUGAAUUACUCAAGCCUUACUGAGCAAUUUAUGCAUGAACUUAAUAAAAUUACUGAGCC
rnacentral:rRNA from 1 species